UACGAAGGGGGCUAGCGUUGCUCGGAAUCACUGGGCGUAAAGGGUGCGUAGGCGGGUUUUUAAGUCAGAGGUGAAAUCCUGGAGCUCACUCCAGAACUGCCUUUGAUACUGAAAGUCUUGAGUAUGGGAGAGGUGAGUGGAACUGCGAGUGUAGAGGUGAAAUUCGUAGAUAUUCGCAAGAACACCAGUGGCGAAGGCGGCUACUGGCCCAUAACUGACGCUGAGGCACGA
rnacentral:rRNA from 1 species